rnacentral:rRNA from 1 species
GACGAACGCUGGCGGCGUGCUUAACACAUGCAAGUCGAACGGAAAGGCCCUGCUUUUGUGGGGUGCUCGAGUGGCGAACGGGUGAGUAACACGUGAGUAACCUGCCCUUGACUUUGGGAUAACUUCAGGAAACUGGGGCUAAUACCGGAUAGGAGCUCCUGCUGCAUGGUGGGGGUUGGAAAGUUUCGGCGGUUGGGGAUGGACUCGCGGCUUAUCAGCUUGUUGGUGGGGUAGUGGCUUACCAAGGCUUUGACGGGUAGCCGGCCUGAGAGGGUGACCGGCCACAUGGGGACUGAGAGACGGCCCAGACUCCUACGGGAGGCAGCAGUGGGGAAUAUUGCACAAUGGGCGGAAGCCUGAUGCAGCAACGCCGCGUGCGGGAUGACGGCCUUCGGGUUGUAAACCGAUUUCGCCUGUGACGAAGCGUGAGUGACGGUAAUGGGUAAAGAAGCACCGGCUAACUACGUG